GGGGUAGAUGGUCGUGUGAGGGACAGUGAGGGUGCAUGAGUAUGUACCGUGAGGGGGGAUGUCCCGUGAGGGGCUGCAAGGGUGAGGCAGUUGUGCAAAGGACAGGAAGGAGUCAUCUGGCCGUGCAGAAGAAAGUGAGGAGUCAGCAUUGCCCAUGAGAACUCACAGAGAAGGUGUGAAGGUUUUACAGUAAGGACUACAUGUUGCCUUUCUGCUCAGCUAAGAGAUGGAAAGCCUUUCAACUGACCUCAGCAGGCUGAAAUGAAGAAAUGAGUUACUGAGGCUCCAGUAAGUGGUCAGAAAGUGAAUGCAACAGAGGACUGAAGCAGGUGCAAGAAUGUGAGAAGCCAGACUUUGCAGAAACAUGUUCCUAAUGUACUGGAAAAUUGGACAUUUGAAGCAGCUGAAGAGCAGGUAUGCACUGAGCUUGACAAGAUACUAUUCAUGUUGCUUAGGGCUGAGUCAGACACAUUUAACUGCCACUGAUUUCUUAAGAGCUCCAAUUCAAGUCAGUGUCUGCAGGAGCAUGUAAGGGCUGCAGGCACGGGCUCUAUGCUACUAGCAGUCACAUUUUGGGACUUUAUUAAGACUCAGAUUUGCUGAACAGACUGUACUGCAAAACCAUGCUAAUUAGCAUCUAAAAUUCUUGGACAACUGCCACAGAUUCCUGGAAGCUGUCUACACCACCAGCAAAAUUGUUUUAGAGAUGCUGAUUGCCUGAAAUAAUUUGGGGCAUAACUUGUUCUUUUGCAGUGAUUUUUAUUGUAUCCAUGUAGUCAUCCUGGCUUUUGACAAACCCUGUUGGUGUGUACCUGAGAGCUGUUCUCAGGGGUCUUGGAGGCAGUGCUUCUCCAAAGGUUGAACCAGUGGGUUUGUUCUAGAGUCUAACCUGAACUGCUUGGGAUGAUGCUGGAUAGGAAGUGUUUCAGUGUGUCUUUUUCACAGGUUGUAUCAAUUUUCUGUGGUAGUGCACUCUUUGGUGAGUUGGUGAAGGGAUGUUAGCAAGGCAGAGUCACAGUAAUUAAUUUCUUAUUUAUCUCUGCAGUAAGGUUAAAAUUUCCAUCUGCUCCCACAGUUUACAUCAACCUCAUCAAAGAGUUUCAGCCAUUCAGUCAAGGCUGUAGCCUCACUCAACUUGGGUCAAGCAAUGAUUCAAUGAUAAUAUGGUACAGUCAACAUGAGACUUGCACCUGUUUGGUUCAAUUCCACUCCCUAAGAUGUUACUGUUUCUAGUUUACUUCUGUAGCCUAGAAAAUGACCUGUAGAUUUUUGAGGCCCAAAUCCCAUCCCUGAGUGAUUCAGGAGAGGCCAGACCCCACUUUAAGAGAUAAACCAUACUGUAAAGCAAAAGGGCACUCUGAUCUGUCAUCUCAUGUUCUCCCCUCAUUUGGUGGAUUGCGUUUGCUGUAUCCAAAAUCCUGAACUCUGCAGCAGAGACAGGAGCCCAAGGCUUAUCCUAGGUGCAUGAAGCACUGGGAUUAGGUGGAGACUUCCCUUUAAACCUUCCUCAAGCUCACUCUUAGCUGCGUAUGGACAGCCAAUAUAUCUAAGUAUCGUACCUUGAUUAAGCAAAAGCC